UUUUUUUUUUUUAGUUUCAUACGUAGGACGAAAAAAAAAAUUGUUAUUAAAUAAAUAGAUGAAACGAAAAGAAAAAUUGUAAUACUUGUGUAAGCUUUUUAAAAUAUUGAAACAUUGUAAAGCUAUAUAUGAAUAUAUAUUAUAUAUAAUUGUUAAAUUUAUAACCGUAAAAUUAGGUAAUGACCGUAAUAUGAUUCUACUUAAUAAUGUUUACGAAAUAUUUAGCGAUAUAUUUUUUUUUUUUUUCAAACUUUUUUUUUUUUUUUUUUUUAAUCCAAAUAAACCAUUGUACAACUUCGGGUAUCUAGUUACUAUGUAAUGUUAUGAAAAAAACAAAAAAAAAAAAAAAAAUUAAAAUAAUAACAAUAAUGUUGUUCGGCUAUUAAAAUCGCUAUAAUAAUAAUAAUAUGUGCAAGACAAACACGCGAAAAAAAAAAAAAAAAAAAAAAAAAAAAAAACUCAGAGAUUUAAUAAUAUGGUAAUGUAUGUUCCGAAUAAAAGUCCUGUAUACAAAGACAUUUAAAUAUUGGACGUUUUUAUUUCACCGCGCCCGUUUGCGCGUCGCGCGCACCGCAUUAUUGCGCUCACUCCGUCGCUACCGUCACUGCGUGCCGCACGCGCGCGUGCACACAGUCCGACGCGCGUGCGGCACGUUAUACGGGGUGAUCCGUUUGUCGCGGACCGCCGGCGCGUUUGAUUUCUGGAAUUUCUCUUUCCGUUUUAUCGCGCGGGAGCUCCGUUGUCCCGACGUUACGAUGCACUGCACGACGUUGGCCAUCGCCCCGUCAGUCUCCUCCCCUCCCCCUCCACCCCGUCGGCCGCACGGUCUAUUGAACGUGACGAACGUUCGCGGAAUGUUUUUUACCGCGACUAAUGGAAAAAAGGUAAAAAAAAAAAAAAAAGAAAAAAAAAAAAACGGAAAUCAAAUUCUCUACGAACCGCACGGGGAAAUCGCCGGUUCGUGGCAAACGGACGACCAGCCCAUGUACGCGCAUUACAUUAUAUGCGUUUACUAUCAUCCUGAACAAUCACGUUGUCUUUCUCUUUUGAAACCAUACACAGGUGUACGAUACGGUUUCAACAGUGUAUUGAUAUUGAAACUCUUCCGCUCGACUGCACGACCGUGCAAUAUUAAUUGUUAACGAAACCGAAAUUCUCGUUUAAUAACUAUUGAAUUGAAAUCUUUUGAACAAAAAUUAAAAAACUCCGCACAAAAAAAAAAAAAAAGAAAUUAGGUAAAAUACAUAAGGUAAUGUUGAGCAAAUAAUACGCUCUGAAACGUAAAGUUUAAUUAAUUAUUAUCAAUGGUGACCGUGACGAACGUGUUUUGGAAAAAGGUAUUUUUAAAUUGUAUUUUAAAUACUAUUCGAACACAUGAAAAUAAUAAAAAAAAAUUAAAAAAUUAACCAGUGCAAAUACAUUAAGGUCUACGCCUAUACGGAGUGUGCCACGAUGAUCCACCGUUUGAAAUAACUUUUGCUCUAUUCGAUAUAUUUUUUUUCUUUUAAUAAUAAUUAGUAUGCCUCUUAUAGUUUUUUUUCCAGGAGAGGGGACUUAAAGUUAAAAAUUUUAAAUUUUACUAUAAUUUUUAAAACAAAAAUUUCAAUAUAGCCAUUUUAUUUUUAGAAAAUUGUAGGUGGUUGAAACUUUUGUUAAAAUAUGGUCUUUUAUUUUCUACGUUUUUUUUUUGAAGUUUUUUCAAAUGUGUACAUUACCUACGUGUUCUAAAACUAUUAUACGUACAGUAACUUACGUUAUUCUAUUACAAUAUUCCAUCAGUUAUUAGUCGGGGCACAUGACAAGGAUGUUCUUUUCCACGAGUUUGGAAUAUCAUGCAACACUAUUAUCACCGUAUUAUUACGGAUAUCAUGUAGUAUCAAUCAAUCAAAACAAUGGUCGUUUAUGUCGAUAAACAAUAUUACUACGGUUGAAAAGAAAAUUAUUGAAAUUUCCGAAAAAAAAAAAAAACGUUCACGCGUAAACUGCAACGCGGAGGCAUACUAAUUAUUAAAAACAAAUAUCGAAUAGAACAAGUUAUUUUUAAGUGGCGAAUCGUCGCGAGCCUACUCGCCGGUACAUUGUCAUGAUGCGCGCCGUCUCCGUCUCAUCGGCGCAUCACGGCGCAUCGGAAUCGUCACGGCGUUACUCUGGGACCGAAAAGACGGCGGCGUUUCGGUCGAAACAAGCGGUUAAACGCGAGUCGAGAAAAUCCGGGAGACGGGAGAGCAUUGUCGAGGGCCGCGCGCAAACCGCGGCGGCGUUUCGCGUUUUAUUAAACGGCCGUGCGAGAGGUCCGGCCGACCAGUGAAACGGCGCCGGCCUUUUAGCCGCGCUCGCGGUGGUACCGCUGCGAGGGCCCGCGAGCGUUUCGGGGAAAAUCCGCCGUCGAAAAGUUGUCCGCUCUCCGAGUUACCAAUUACCCGCGCCGUUUGCGCUCGGGCGCCGAUUUCAAUGCGAUCGCCGCGACCUGCUCACGGCGCGGGCACCGCGAUUAUUUUUCGGUGUUUCUUCCCCCUCCCCCUCCCCCUCCCCCCGUCAGUCUAGAAUGCCGAGACGGCGAUUUCGGGCGCGUGACGUCGCCGUUUAAAUUCCACCGUGCUAUAAAUAAAUGCCCGCGUAAAAAUAAUAUCCGCGUAUAUUUUUCGCGAAUCGUUCAAAUCGGUAAAAAACCUACAGUGCGUACGCGCGCACGUAGGCAGUUCGAAUUUGAACGAUACGGGGGCACAGGGUCGUUUUUUAUCGCGGAC
rnacentral:lncRNA from 1 species